rnacentral:misc_RNA from 1 species
AACAUCGCGCACCUGCGGGAACCUGCGGAAGGAUCAUUAAUGAUUGGUGGCUGUUGCUGACUAGUGUUUCUAGUAUGUGCACGCCACACCUUCAAUCCCACUUACACCUGUGCACCUUCUGUGAUAGAUCUAUGUGGAUACGGAGAUAUGAAAGUUUGCGCUCUCGUACUCUGUUGAAGCAGUCUACUACGUUUUUUUACACACACACAAUAGUCAUUGAAUGUAUUUUUUAUUCUUAUG